CUAUAUUUCUAUAUAGGUUCAGAACCUCUCCUAUGAAUUCUUUCUAUAAGGAUCAUCUAGAAAGUGAGUAGGUAUU
rnacentral:tRNA from 1 species